rnacentral:ncRNA from 1 species
AGAAAAUUUGAUUUUGGUUUUUAAAUUUAAUAUAUAUUUUAAUUAUAUGCGAAAUUUAAAAAUUUAUUUUAUUAAUAGGGAUAAAUAAAAUUUUGCAAUAAAUAAAUUUAUACAAUAAAUGUAGGUUUGAUAUAGGAAUAUAUAAGAAUAUUGGUAAAAUUUGUGCCAGCAACCGCGGUUAAACAAAUAAUAUAAUUAAAUUUUUAUUUAAUAUUAAUUAAUAUGAAAAAUUUAAUAUAAAAUUAAAUUUAUUAGGUGAAAUUAUAGAUUUAAAUAAGAUUAGAUAAUUUAAGAUUAUAAAUUUAUGAAAUUUUUUUAUUAAACUAGGAUUAGAUACCCUAUUAUAAAAAAUGUAAAAUUGACUUAUUAGGGGAGUAAUAGGUAUGUUCUUGAAAUUUAAAAAAUUUGGCGGUAUUUUAGUCUUUUCAGAGGAACCUGUCCUGUAAUUGAUAAUCCACAAUUAAUUUUACUUAAUUUACAAGUUUACAUAUCGUCGUAGUUAGAAUAUCUUUAAAGAGAAUAAAUAUUCAUAAUUUAAAAUAAUAAAAUAAAUCAGAUCAAGGUGUAGCUUAUAAUUAAGGAGAGAUGGGUUACAAUAAAAUUAUUUAUAUGGUUAUAAUAAUUAACAUUAUUAUUUAAAUUGGAUUUGAAAGUAAUAUAUUUAAGUUAAAAUAUAUGAUUUCAGCUCUAAAAUAUGUACAUAUCGCCCGUCACUUUCAUUGAAUUUUAAAUUGAAAUAAGUCGUAACAUAGUAGGUGUACCGGAAGGUGUACCUGGAUAGAC